rnacentral:lncRNA from 1 species
GAUGCAGAAUAAAAUUGAUCGGCUAGAGACAGAGAAUGGUCGACUUAACACAGUGGUGGAGGAGUUGUAGGCGUUUAUGCAUAGGAUGAUGGCACAACAGGGUGUUGGAACAUCCACUCAGACAUCUGCUCCUAGGGCACCUCCAACUCCGUCUCCACAGCAGCGACAUGAUGAUGCCUCUGUCAUUGGUGAUCAUCAUACAG